UUUGGGGGAAGUAGUGGUCCGUUCCGUUUGUUUGGGGAAAAAGACAUCAUCCUUUGAGGUAAAAUUAGGUUUGCUUCCUUUUACUCCCAAUUUUUUUUACUGUGGGUAAAAAGAUCAUCAUGGGGGUAUAAAAGGAACCAAAUUUAAAUUUAACUCAAGGGAUUUUGAUGUCGUUUUCCCCAACAGGACGGAUCACUAUUUUUCCCAAG
rnacentral:pre_miRNA from 1 species